GAUGAACGCUGGCGGCGUGCCUAAUACAUGCAAGUCGAGCGAACAGACGAGGAGCUUGCUCCUCUGACGUUAGCGGCGGACGGGUGAGUAACACGUGGAUAACCUACCUAUAAGACUGGGAUAACUUCGGGAAACCGGAGCUAAUACCGGAUAAUAUAUUGAACCGCAUGGUUCAAUAGUGAAAGACGGUUUUGCUGUCACUUAUAGAUGGAUCCGCGCCGCAUUAGUUAGUUGGUAAGGUAACGGCUUACCAAGGCAACGAUGCGUAGCCGACCUGAGAGGGUGAUCGGCCACACUGGAACUGAGACACGGUCCAGACUCCUACGGGAGGCAGCAGUAGGGAAUCUUCCGCAAUGGGCGAAAGCCUGACGGAGCAACGCCGCGUGAGUGAUGAAGGUCUUCGGAUCGUAAAACUCUGUUAUUAGGGAAGAACAAAUGUGUAAGUAACUAUGCACGCCUUGACGGUACCUAAUCAGAAAGCCACGGCUAACUACGUG
rnacentral:rRNA from 1 species